rnacentral:rRNA from 1 species
GCAAGUCGAGCGCAGUCCUUCGGGACCGAGCGGCGGACGGGUUAGUAACGCGUGGGAACAUACCCAUUUCUACGGAAUAGCCAUUGGAAACGAUGAUUAAUACCGUAUACGCCCUUUGGGGGAAAGAUUUAUCGGAGAAGGAUUAGCCCGCGUUAGAUUAGGUAGUUGGUGGGGUAAUGGCCUACCAAGCCUACGAUCUAUAGCUGGUUUGAGAGGAUGAUC